UGACAGGUGGUGCAUGGUUGUCGUCAGCUCGUGUCGUGAGAUGUUGGGUUAAGUCCCGCAACGAGCGCAACCCUUGAUCUUAGUUGCCAUCAUUAAGUUGGGCACUCUAAGGUGACUGCCGGUGACAAACCGGAGGAAGGUGGGGAUGACGUCAAAUCAUCAUGCCCCUUAUGACCUGGGCUACACACGUGCUACAAUGGACAGAACAAAGGGCUGCGAGACCGCAAGGUGUAGCCAAUCCCACAAAUCCGUUCUCAGUUCGGAUCGCAGGCUGCAACUCGCCUGCGUGAAGCUGGAAUCGCUAGUAAUCGCGGAUCAGCAUGCCGCGGUGAAUACGUUCCCGGGUCUUGUACACAC
rnacentral:rRNA from 3 species